GUGCUUGCUUCAGCAGCACAUAUACUAAAAUUGGAGUGAUACAGAGAUUAGCAUGGCCCCUGAGCAAGGAUGACACGCAAAUUCGUGAAGUGUUCCAUAUUUUU
rnacentral:snRNA from 1 species